rnacentral:rRNA from 1 species
CUAGACUCCUACGGGAGGCAGCAGUGGGGAAUAUUGCACAAUGGGGGAAACCCUGAUGCAGCGACGCCGCGUGAGUGAAGAAGGUUUUCGGAUCGUAAAACUCUGUUGGUAGAGAAGAACGUUGGUGAGAGUGGAAAGCUCAUCAAGUGACGGUAACUACCCAGAAAGGGACGGCUAACUACGUGCCAGCAGCCGCGGUAAUACGUAGGAUGCGAGCGUUAUCCGGAUUUAUUGGGUUUAAAGGGUGCGUAGGCGGAAUGCCAAGUCAGCGGUAAAAUCGCGGGGCUCAACCUCGCUCCGCCGUUGAAACUGGCGUUCUUGAGUGGGCGAGAAGUAUGCGGAAUGCGUGGUGUAGCGGUGAAAUGCAUAGAUAUCACGCAGAACUCCGAUUGCGAAGGCAGCAUACCGGCGCCCAACUGGCGCUGAAGCACGAAAGCGUGGGUAUCGAACAGGAUUAGAUACCCUCGUA